rnacentral:tRNA from 1 species
GGUCGCUUGGCUCAGUGGUAGAGCGCUUCGUUCACAUCGAAGAGGUCGAAGGUUCAAUCCCUUCAGCGACCACCA